UACGGAGGGUGCAAGCGUUGCUCGGAAUUAUUGGGCGUAAAGGGCAGGUAGGUGGUCUCAUUUGUCUGGGGUGAAAGCCUUGAGCUUAACUCAAGAAGUGCCCCAGAAACGGUGAGACUUGAGUCCGAGAGAGGGUCGUGGAAUUCCCGGUGUAGCGGUGAAAUGCGUAGAGAUCGGGAGGAACACCGGUGGCGAAGGCGGUUCUCUGGGCCUUACCUGACGCUGAGGAGCGAAAGCGUGGGGAGCGAACAGG
rnacentral:rRNA from 1 species